rnacentral:lncRNA from 1 species
GAGUUCCAAAAGUUGAACCUGAAUGUCCGAUAUAAGAUAUGAGGAGGAUACCUAGCCAAUAUAAAAGUACAACCCAUUCUGGUGCAGAAAAUUAGAGAAGGCCAGUAGUCUAAUUCUAACUUGAAGUCGAUUAUGGAAGAUGUCAGUAAAGGACUUAGGUAGAAUUCAGACUAUUAGAAGAUUGUAUAUUGAAGUUUGGAAACAGGGUAUUUGUGCUGAAUAAUGAUAGCCUAAAAA